GUAGGGAAUAUUGCACAAUGGGGGAAACCCUGAUGCAGCGACGCCGCGUGAGUGAUGAAGGCCUUCGGGUCGUAAAGCUCUGUCGUAUGGGACUAACACAAUGAAGGUACCAUGCAAGAAAGGAUCGGCUAACUUCGUGCCAGCAGCCGCGGUAAGACGAGGGAUCCUAGCGUUGUUCGGAAUCAUUGGGCGUAAAGCGGGUGUAGGCGGAUUUAUAAGUCAGGUGUGAAAUCCCAGGGCUCAACCCUGGAAGUGCACUUGAUACUGUAAAUCUUGAGUGUGGUAGAGGUUACUGGAAUUGUUGGUGUAGUGGUGAAAUACGUAGAUAUCAACAGGAAUACCGGAGGCGAAGGCGAGUAACUGGGCCAACACUGACGCUGAGACCCGAAAGCGUGGGGAUCAAACAGGAUUAGAUACCCUUGUAGUCC
rnacentral:rRNA from 1 species